GCACAAGCGGUGGAGCAUGUGGUUUAAUUGGAUUCAACGCCGGAAAUCUUACCGGGACCGACAGCAAUAUGAAGGCCAGGCUGAAGACUUUGCCGGAUUAGCUGAGAGGUGGUGCAUGGCCGUCGUCAGCUCGUACUGUGAAGCAUCCUGUUAAGUCAGGCAACGAGCGAGACCCACGCCCACAGUUGCCAGCGUACUCUCUGGAGUGACGGGUACACUGUGGGGACCGCCGCUGCUAAAGCGGAGGAAGGAAUGGGCAACGGUAGGUCAGUAUGCCCCGAAUAUCCCGGGCUACACGCGAGCUACAAUGGUUGGUACAAUGGGUAUCUACCCCGAAAGGGGACGGGAAUCUCCUAAAACCAAUCUUAGUUCGGAUUGAGGGCUGCAACUCGCCCUCAUGAAGCUGGAAUCCGUAGUAAUCGCGUUUCAACAGAACGCGGUGAAUACGUCCCUGCUCCUU
rnacentral:rRNA from 1 species